rnacentral:rRNA from 1 species
UAAUACGGAGGGUCCGAGCGUUAAAUCGGAAUUACUGGGCGUAAAGCGUACGCAGGCGGCCAUUUAAGUCAGAUGUGAAAGCCCCGGGCUCAACCUGGGAACUGCAUUUGAAACUGGAUGGCUAGAGUGCGACAGAGGGUGGUAGAAUUUCAGGUGUAGCGGUGAAAUGCGUAGAGAUCUGAAGGAAUACCAAUGGCGAAGGCAGCCACCUGGGUCGACACUGACGCUCAUGUACGAAAGCGUGGGUAGCAAACAGGAUUAGAUACCCUGGUAGUCCACGCCGUAAACGAUGUCUACUAGCAGCUUGGCGCUUAAGCCGCUGUUUGCGAAGCUAACGCGAUCCGUAGACCGCCUGGGGAGUACGGCGCAAGGUAAAACUCAAAUGAAUUGACGGGGACCCGCACAAGCGGUGGAUGAUGUGGAUUAAUUCGAUGCAACGCGAAAAACUUACCUACCCUUGACAUGCCACUAACGAAGCAGAGAUGCAUUAGGUGCUCGAAAGAGAAGUGGACACAGGUGCUUGAUGGCUGUCGUCAGCUCGUGUCUGUGAGAUGUGGGUUAAGUCCGCAACGAGCGCAACCUUGUCUUAGUGCUACGAAAGGC